UGGUUGUGGCUCAGGGGUAGAAUGUUCGCCUAGCACAUCGGAAGCCCUGGGUUCGAGCCUCAGCACCAA
rnacentral:tRNA from 1 species